UACGAAGGGGGCUAGCGUUGCUCGGAAUCACUGGGCGUAAAGGGUGCGUAGGCGGGUCUUUAAGUCAGGGGUGAAAUCCUGGAGCUCAACUCCAGAACUGCCUUUGAUACUGAGAAGCUUGAGUCCGGGAGAGGUGAGUGGAACUGCGAGUGUAGAGGUGAAAUUCGUAGAGAUCCGGAGGAACACCAGUGGCGAAGGCGACACGCUGGGCCGUACCUGACACUGAACCGCGACAGCAUGGGGAGCAAACAGG
rnacentral:rRNA from 1 species